rnacentral:rRNA from 1 species
GAAACCAACAGGGAUUGCCUCAGUAACGGCGAGUGAAGCGGCAAAAGCUCAAAUUUGAAAUCUAGCACUUUCAGUGUUCGAGUUGUAAUUUGAAGAAGGUAACUUUGGUUUUGGCUCUUGUCUAUGUUCCUUGGAACAGGACGUCACAGAGGGUGAGAAUCCCGUGCGAUGAGAUGCCCAAUUCCAUGUAAAGUGCUUUCGAAGAGUCGAGUUGUUUGGGAAUGCAGCUCUAAGUGGGUGGUAAAUUCCAUCUAAAGCUAAAUAUUGGCGAGAGACCGAUAGCGAACAAGUACAGUGAUGGAAAGAUGAAAAGAACUUUGAAAAGAGAGUGAAAAAGUACGUGAAAUUGUUGAAAGGGAAGGGCUUGAGAUCAGACUUGGUAUUUUGCGUUCCCUUCCUUUUUGGUUGGGUUCCUCGCAGUUUACUGGGCCAGCAUCGGUUUGGAUGGUAGGAUAAUGACAUUGGAAUGUAGCUUUACUUCGGUGAAGUGUUAUAGACUUUGUUGAUACUGCCUAUCUAGACCGAGGACU